rnacentral:rRNA from 1 species
AGACGUCUACAUUAGACUACCCCCGUAGUCCCAGCCGUAAACUAUGCUCGCUAGGUGUCAGGCAUGGCGCGACCGUGUCUGGUGCCGCAGGGAAGCCGUGAAGCGAGCCACCUGGGAAGUACGGCCGCAAGGCUGAAACUUAAAGGAAUUGGCGGGGGAGCACAACAACGGGUGGAGCCUGCGGUUUAAUUGGACUCAACGCCGGACAACUCACCGGGGACGACAGCAAUAUGUAGGCCAGGCUGAAGACCUUGCCUGAAUCGCUG